rnacentral:rRNA from 1 species
UACGGAGGAUCCGAGCGUUAUCCGGAUUUAUUGGGUUUAAAGGGUGCGUAGGCCGGCUGGUAAGUCAGCGGUGAAACGUCGUUGCUCAACAAUGACCGUGCCGUUGAAACUGUCAGUCUUGAGUGCAUCCAGUGCAUGCGGAAUUCGUGGUGUAGCGGUGAAAUGCUUAGAUAUCACGAAGAACUCCGAUCGCGAAGGCAGCAUGCAGGGGUGGCACUGACGCUGAAGCACGAAAGCGUGGUUAUCAAACAGG